rnacentral:sRNA from 1 species
UGGACAGGGGGGUUCCCGCUCUCACCGAGUGGGGCCUGUCCAACGCAGGCCACGCGAAACGCGUGGCCCAUGGUUGUCGCUCGGGGGUGAUCGCCG